rnacentral:rRNA from 1 species
UUUGCUGACGAGUGGCGGACGGGUGAGUAAUGUCUGGGAAACUGCCCGAUGGAGGGGGAUAACUACUGGAAACGGUAGCUAAUACCGCAUAACGUCGCAAGACCAAAGAGGGGGACCUUCGGGCCUCUUGCCAUCGGAUGUGCCCAGAUGGGAUUAGCUAGUAGGUGGGGUAAAGGCUCACCUAGGCGACGAUCCCUAGCUGGUCUGAGAGGAUGACCAGCCACACUGGAACUGAGACACGGUCCAGACUCCUACGGGAGGCAGCAGUGGGGAAUAUUGCACAAUGGGCGCAAGCCUGAUGCAGCCAUGCCGCGUGUAUGAAGAAGGCCUUCGGGUUGUAAAGUACUUUCAGCGGGGAGGAAGGGAGUAAAGUUAAUACCUUUGCUCAUUGACGUUACCCGCAGAAGAAGCACCGGCUAACUCCGUGCCAGCAGCCGCGGUAAUACGGAGGGUGCAAGCGUUAAUCGGAAUUACUGGGCGUAAAGCGCACGCAGGCGGUUUGUUAAGUCAGAUGUGAAAUCCCCGGGCUCAACCUGGGAACUGCAUCUGAUACUGGCAAGCUUGAGUCUCGUAGAGGGGGGUAGAAUUCCAGGUGUAGCGGUGAAAUGCGUAGAGAUCUGGAGGAAUACCGGUGGC